rnacentral:ncRNA from 2 species
UGUAAACUAGGUGAUGGAUUCGCCUUUAAAUGCUUGAAUGCUAAUGACUCCUACAGAAUA